GUCACUGACAGGCGCCCUCGCGCCCUCUGAGCACAGAAGUGCUGCUGGUAAACCGGGCUGCUAAUUCCCCAUGACAUUUGACCUUUCAACUCCAACCAGCUGAGUGGCAGCUGAAUAUAAAGCCACAGCUGGAUGUUGACAGUUCUUGGCCUCAAACAGAGAGAGGGAGGAAGGUGCAGAUGCCACCCAUCUCCUGUGGGCAGAAGGGGCAAGCAACCUGAUUUGCUUGAUGAUGUGUCCCAGUUCUAACCGAGGAGACACGGGGAACCUUAGCGUGGCCAGGAGUCCAGGAAAAUACGGUGGGGGUCCUCGAGGACCACCCCAAGAAGCUUCAGACUUGGUUCUGCUGUGAUGUCAGGAAGCCGAUGGACGCCUGCGGCUGCUUGUUGCUGUUGUCACUGCAGGGGCCGGGGCGCUAGAAGAGAGGAAGUUUGUGCCCCAGAGAGGAGCCAAAUGAGCACCCCGAACAGAGAGACGGCAGGGGCAGACUUCCAGAGUCAGGAUGGACCUCACGAGUGGGUCACGUCUCAU
rnacentral:lncRNA from 1 species